UAUAAAAUACCAAAAAAAAAAAUUCUCUCUCCUCACACUCACCAUUAGCUCUCCUACCUCCAAUUUUUCCUACCUCCAUUUUUUAUUUGUAUCUUUUCUAAAGCUUUAAGAAUUUCCAUCUUCAACUUCAGGACAUGCCAGAAUAUUUGAAGUUCAAUGCAAAGGUUGCCCACUAUACACUUCUUUGUUGAGUUCAACAGGACAAUAUGUUGCAUGAAAUAUGGUUCUCCAUCAACAACAGGUUGACAUGUUUUGGCCUGAAGGAGUUUGCGCUAAUCACAGGUUUAAAUUGUGGGUUUUAUCCCCCUAAUUCAAAAUAUCUCAAAGUGAUGGAGGAGGGUAGAGCUUUUUUCAAAAAGAUUGUGAAAAAGAGGAGAGUAAAUACUAAGAUAUUGUUGAAGCUUACUAGAGGUGGGAGGUCAGAUAAGAAGGACAAGUUCAAAUGCUUCUUGGUUUGGUUCGUGCACUGCAUAUUACUUGCAGGCGACUUGUCAAAAAUCAUGGACAUAGACUCCUUCAAGAUAGUGGAUAACUUGAGCUAUUUUGAGAGAUAUCCUAAGGGUAAGAAGUCAUUUGUCUUGACUCUAGACUAGCUAAAGAAGCAGAUACACUUCACCAAAUAGAAAAAUACAUAUAUAAUAAAGGGAGUUUCAUCGUACGCGCUCUACGAAUUUUCUUGGGCAUUUUUGAUACUGAUCAUAAAACAUUAAGGUAGUUUAUUCUAUACUGUAAUUUAUCUAUGGUAUUAAUACAAUACUGAUUGAUUUAUAUAUUUAUUUUUCCUUUUGAUCAUAGAUUUGGAUAUACAAAGUCUUUUUCGAGCUCGACAGGGGAAAUGGUAAAUCAAUAGAAAACCCGUUGUCCAUUCCCCAAUUGCUCAGAUAGCAUAUCUCAAAAAAUGAUAAACUAAUUAAAGGUGAUGCGUAUUUGAACAGAUGAAGCACAAACGUAUGAAACUAUUUUCUUGAAGAAUAUUUUUAAUAAAAUUAUGUUUCUUAAUAAUCACAUUUUCCUAUUUAUCUAUAAAGAGUGCACCCGUACCUUAUCCCAAAGUCUGUGAAAUGAAGCAGCAAUACAUGAAAAAGUUUAAAGCAUUUAUGAACGAGGUGAAUGGCCCAUUCAUCGAUGGCUUGUACACCCAUCUGAAGGGUGUGACUGUCAUCACCUCAUCGGAGAAUGGUAAGGACGGAUAUGAUAACCGAAAUUUUGGUGGAAAUCCUGUGUCAAGACAUGCUACUCACGGUGCAGGAACAAGUAAAUUAAAAGAAGGAGAAAAGAUACCGAUGAUAAAAAAUUUGAAAGAGCGCGUGUUUAGGCUGGAGGGGGCGAUGAAGGAUUUGCUGAUUUUUUGAAACAAGAGAGGCUAAGGAGAGCAAAAAAGGAAAGCAAAAGAAGAAAGAAGAAGAUGAAGGUGUGCAGGUCCAAAGUUAGCAAUCAUCAGUGAGGGUUGUACGUGAUGACGGUGGCAUUACAGAAGUAUUCCUUGAGGUAGCAACUUUGGAACAUGCAUCGAUCAAUGCUGCUGAGGUGAUGAUCUUUGAUGAUGCAGUUGUUGUAGAUAAGGAAAAUCCAGACGAAGGCAAUCAAGAAAAAAAAGAAAAAAAAUGAAGAAGCUAUUUGUGAACAAGAAAACAAACCCGAAAAAUCAGCUGGUAGAGAGAAUGAUAAUCAUGAUGAACGCAUGCAGGAGGAACAAGAAAAAAAAUAAAAACUGUUUGUGAAGAAUAAAAAAUGAAUAAAAUGGAGAGAAAGCAGAAGAGGAAGAAGGGGAAGGGAAGCAUACAGCAGGAGAAGAAGUAGAGAAAGAAGAAGAGAAGAUUGCAUCAAUAGAAGAAGAACAGAGAAAAAAAUAAGAAGAAGGAACCAUGGCAGCAAUAAAAGGAGAAGAACAUAAAGAAGAUGAAGAAAAAGAAAAAAAAUAAUGCAUCAGAAAAAAAACUAUUACGGAGGAAGAAAAAAAUGCAUUGGUGGAUAUAGAUGAUUUUCUUAAGGAAGUUGUUGAUUAUAUCAACAACAUGCACAUGGAAGAGAAUAAUGUUGAGGAAUCACAAGAAAAUUUAUUACUUUUAUUUGUGGGUGAUGUUUAUUUAUGGAA